GAUGAACGCUGGCGGCGUGCCUAAUACAUGCAAGUCGAGCGAACAGAUAAGGAGCUUGCUCCUUUGACGUUAGCGGCGGACGGGUGAGUAACACGUGGGUAACCUACCUAUAAGACUGGGAUAACUUCGGGAAACCGGAGCUAAUACCGGAUAACAUUUGGAACCGCAUGGUUCUAAAGUGAAUGAUGGUUUUGCUAUCACUUAUAGAUGGACCCGCGCCGUAUUAGCUAGUUGGUAAGGUAACGGCUUACCAAGGCGACGAUACGUAGCCGACCUGAGAGGGUGAUCGGCCACACUGGAACUGAGACACGGUCCAGACGCCUACGGGAGGCAGCAGUAGGGAAUCUUACGCAAUGGGCGAAAGCCUGACGGAGCAACGCCGCGUGAGUGAUGAAGGGUUUCGGCUCGGAAAACUCUGUUAUUAGGGAAGAACAAACGUGUAAGUAACUGUGCACGUCUUGACGGUACCUAAUCAGAAAGCCACGGCUAACUACGUG
rnacentral:rRNA from 1 species